rnacentral:snoRNA from 1 species
GCGCUGUCUUUGAGCCCCCGCCGAGCCUCCUCGUGGUGCCGGGGGUCAAUCUGCAGCGCUAGAGCAUGUGCUUGCAUAACUGGGGCCGCUUGGCCCCCCAGCGGCCCUUUAACAUGAGCGACAAUU